rnacentral:snRNA from 16 species
UAAAAGGGUGCUUGCUGCUUAGAUAGCACAUAGGUCCAAACGGGCCUGUGGGGUAUGGUUAUCAAGACAUAUCCAGCACGUAAUUUUUGUACCUGUAGGGCUGUUGACUGCCAAUAUGCAUCGACGCCCUC